UCCUACACGCAUGCAUCCCGUGUACACACAUACACACACACACAAGCAUAAAAUUGAAAAGGACACUUGUCAGAUUGUGUACUCUCCACAUUUACAUGUUGACAUCCUAGGCCUUAGAAUGGGCCAGCACACAGAGACAGGCCCAAUACGGUGGAAAGCUCACAGAGUGACACAGCUGAAUGGGUUGCCUCUGUUCCUAUCUUCCUGAUAAGGCUAUCAGCACACGACAGGAGGCCAGAUCAGAGGGAACAGCCCAGCAUGCACUCUGACCUUGCGCUGUGGCUUCUAGAAGGUUGAGCAAGCAAGUUUCUGUCAUUUAACAGGUUUGGGGGUUUUAUUACUUCAGCCCCAGCAAACUGACCCAGAAGCUGCUGGCCAGAAAGGAGUGAACUAGGGUCUUAAGUGGGGUUCCAGCUAUACCAUCUCUCCACUCACUAGGGGUUCAUCAUCUGCUGGGGCAGAGGCCGUGCGGGGUUGUUCCUCUCUGGCUUUAUCACACCCUGGACUCCAUUUCUCUACCGGACAAGAAGCCAAGGACAGAGGUCUACUGGGAUGUAUUAGCAGGCUCAGGAAGACAAAAGUGAUCUUGCCUGACACAAAUACAGAUGAAUUCAUGUGGAGGAAACCCACAGACUAGCAAAUUAAAGUGUAGUUCAGGCUGGAGAGUGCCGAGGACGCCGGCUGAUGGAUCUUCCUGGCCAGACAGCCAGGCCAACCUGAUAUGUCACCACAGCAUACUGUCAAAGCCACAGGUCCACCUGCGGGGGCUGAGGGAGGAGAAGUACCAGCCUGUCAUGGCCACGGGGGCCAAGACCCCGCAGGAGAUGAAGGCAGGGCACACAUCUGGACUGUGGCUAGAAAGGGGGUGGCUGAAGCUCAGGGGACCUCAGUGAGUGAAUGCUGGCCACGCACAGCCAGGCUGUCACACGAGCGUCCCUCACCAAGCUGCUGACCAGGAGAGUUGAGGCUAUGCCUGGAUAUGAACAUCUCUGUCUGCUCGUGGAAGGAACACAAAACUCAACAGGUGCUUCCCUCCAGAGGCCUCUGAGCUCGGCUGGACUGGCAUGUUCUUUUCCCCUUCUGACGGAGGAUCUUUCCAGUCGCUCAGGACGAGCACACUCUCCUGCAUGCCGCCCCUCCCCCCAUGUCCUCGAGGACCAGACUGGACCAUUCCAUCCAGCAGCGACGCGGGCCAUUUCCACUUCCCUUCUUGGAACGCUAAGGCAAGGAUACAGGUCCUGGUAUGUGCAACACAACCUACAUGCUCAAGAGCCACACGGGGUCAUGACAGUGACCAAACAAAGCGGGACGUUCUGUCCAACAAGUGACUUCAGGCUGUGCUGCCACAGAGCAGUUAUGUGCCUAUGAUAAAGUCCUCAGGGACUCUGUGUGACACCCCUGGCAUACAGGAGGCCUUUGGGGCUACAUGGACCUCAGCUGGGUUCUGGUCUGGUCUGGUCUGGUCUAUGGGUGGUGAGCUAGAAGACCAUGACACUGACUGUGGCUGUGCGCCACCCUCAGCCUUAAAGCCUCACUCCCCCAAAGUGCUCUGGGGCCUGGGUACAGUUCUGAGAGUCACUUUCCUUGUAUAAUAAUUCAUGGCAAGAACGUCUGUCCUGCCACUCCUGGCUUCCAUGUGGAGUUCUAGGCUUCUCAAAGGGUCUGCCACUAGGAUGUCGCAUGUGCAGACUUUGUGGAAGCAGGCCAGAACUACGAGGUCCCCAAGCUCUUGGGAUGCUGGAACUGGGGAACUCCAACCCCAGGUGUAAGGUUCAUGGAGCAUGGAGUCCAAAUCCCUGGGGACGCUGAUGUGCGUGUCACAUAGGAGCCCAUCUAUUCCAUUUAUGUGCAUGGUUCAAGGGUGUCCAUGACCGAGUCGGGGCAUGCAUGCAUGCAGGCACAUGUGUGUAGGAAUAUGUUGGGCUAGGAGUGAGCAUGACUGGGCAGUGGCUGCACCUUUUCUGCCUGUCAUUCGUGGAAACUGCAUGUGCCAUACACAGGAGCCUGAGGGUGGCAGUGCCCUGGCUAAGGGAGGCAGAGACAGUGGCCCCGCUGGCCCUCUUCCAUAACUCUUGUUCCAGGACAUAGGAAUCCCACAGAACAUUCAUGUAAGGCAACCGCCGUUGUGGUUUCUAUAAGCUAUGAGUAAGUUUCCUGCCGUUGGUCUAAACAUCUCUCUCACCAUUGCUGCUGUGAGCCAAGACACCGCAGAGCCCAUGGCCUAAAGCAGCUGCUGGGAUCCUCAUAAGACGGAGCCCAAGCCUCACAAACCCCACACCCGCUUUGAGGACCACAGGUGGUCUUCAGGCCUCAUCUGGGGAGCUGGGCCUGCAGGCUUCAUUCAGACCAAGGGGUCCAUAAUUCGGAGUCUGGGGUGGAAUAUUCAAGUAAGAAAAGAACCUGUUUCUCAGAGGGAGUCCACUCCAAGACUGGUCCAGAUGUGGGGAAAGACAUCAGCGAGCCUGGUAUUUGCUGCAUUUGUCUCACACAUGGUAAAGCUUAAUGUAUACAUUAAUUACUCCAAAAAAGAUUAACAGCAACAAUAAAAUAGAACCAUUAUAAUGGUAAUAUAAUAAAGUUAUUUUAAACAUGAA
rnacentral:sRNA from 1 species